rnacentral:sRNA from 1 species
CCUGUAGGGGUGAGGGAAGUGGAAAUCUGGCUGAGUGUGAAAGAACCUUUAAAUAUCGGGGGGAUUGUGGGAACCAUUGUGAGCCUCCUUCUGCUGGGACUGGCCAUUAUCUCAGGGCUUCUGUUGUAUUAUAGCCCUGCGUUCUGCUGGAAAGGUAAGGGCUCCCCGGGUCCUUUAGCUUCUCUUCCAGGCUUUUGAAAAGGUGCGGGUUGGGGAAGGAUGGCCCCUGUCAUGCUCCCACCUGAAGUUCUGUUCUCUGGGCUUCUUUGCUGGGUCAAGAUAUACAGUAAUAAGUCACCUAAGUACCAUCCCGGGACACCCUAUCACCUGUCAUAUUGAGUCAGUUUUUUUAUUUGUUCCUCUAGUAAAUGUUAGCCUGAUUAAGAACCUGUGAGGUUGAAGUGGAUGUUACUGGAUAUUAAUGGUUUUUCCUUUCUCUCUUCAGCAGGAAACACUUUCAGGUGAGUGUUCCCUAGAAUCAAACCAAACACCCAUUCCCACAUCUGUCUUCACUUCUGUUUUGUUCCCUUCCUUUCAUAAGAACAAUAAUAGCAACUACC